rnacentral:miRNA from 15 species
UAGAAGAAUAAGGUCCAUAGA